CGGCGAGGGGCAGAAUGCCUCGGGCGGGCCCAACGCCUUAAAGGGACGGCUUGCGGAGCGCGCUUUCCUGUGCAAAGCGGUAACCUCUGCGUCGGCGGGCGUCGGUCCGUCUCGCGCACUUUCUAAAAACGGAAGGGAAGACGGGACCCCGAAGGCGCCCCAGGAGCUCCGCGCGCGGAAGGACGCCCUCGACGGGGAAGUGCCCGGGGAGCAGGGCGCGUGGUUGUCCUGGACUCGGACGCGGGAGCUGAGAGGAGCCCAAGGAGGAUGCCGGGGCCCGGUCUCUGGCCCUGGCCCAGCUCUGCGUGGAUCUCCGUGCCUCGGAGCCUCGCCACACACACCCCGCCCGCCCCGGGCCGCCUUUGUUACGGCGGUUAAUGAAACCAGCUUGGGGUGAAGGACACUUCCCUCCUCCUGGCCACCUGGGCCAGCAUGGGAGUCCAUCGUGUCACCCCUCCAUCAACUCUGGCUGGCUCAGCCAUCCAUUUCUCUCCAUCCUGGCCCCAGGUUUUGUCUCCCAAGGGGCCUUUUCCAAACCUUCCGGAAGCUCAGUCGGAAUAAAACUCCCAGUGCUGGGAUCUGUCACCUCCCCUGCCCGGAUCUCGAAGACUCAGAGCCAGCUCCCCAUUGCUCUCAUGUCCAAAUCCAGCGUCUGCUGGCGGAGUUUACCAGACCCCCCUCUAGCUUAGCAACACCCCCAGUCUGUGCACCCCAGAUCCCAGCCCCAAAUCAAAAAUACCUCCAACCCUCCAGGCAGAGCUGGAUAAGGUUUGGUACCCAGAACUCAGAGCCGGUUCCCGAGUAAACUGGUCUCGCUCCUCUCUCCCCAGACAGAGCCUUCUGUGAAAAUGAGGAAGCCCCAUUAAGUGCUGUUGCAGCCCAUCCUGGCAGCCAUACCUAAAACACCACAACCCGAGAACACAGCAGAUAAAGCAAUUUAGCAAAAGCAGGUGAUUUGCUUUAUUGCCAAAGUCUUAAAUCCUUUUAUAUCCCUUCUGAGAUGUGGUCGGCUCAGAAAAAUCGCAGGUAGAAAUGGAAGAGAGGAUGAAAACUACAGAGAGGGGGAGAACAUUUUGGAGAUUGUUUUUUCCAGAACAUCAACUGUGCUUUGGCAAACGGGAGCUAAUUAGUAAAUGAACCUGUUUCCAUGA